rnacentral:rRNA from 1 species
GACGAACGCUGGCGGCGUGCUUAACACAUGCAAGUCGAACGGAAAGGCCCUGCUCUUGUGGGGGGCUCGGGUGGCGAGCGGGUGAGUAACACAAGAGUAACCUGACCUUGACUUUGGUAUAAGUUAACCAAAUUGGGGCGAAGACAGGACGGGAUCUCCUGGUGCUUGGGGGGGGUUGGAAAGUGUCGGCGGUUGUGUAUGGUCUCGCGGCGUUUCAGCUUGUUGGUGGGGUAGUGGCUUACGAAGGCUUUGACGGGUGGCCGGCCUGAGCGGGUGACCGGCAACAUUGGGACUGAGAUGCGGGCCAGCCGCGGACGGGAGGGAGCAGUGGGGGAUAGUGUACUGCGGCGGCGAGGCGGAUGCGGCAGCGCCGCGCGCGGGAUGAAGGCCUUCGGGUUGUGAACCGCUUUCGCCUGGGACGAAGGGGGAGUGACGGUAGUGGGUUAAGAAGCACCGGCUAACUACGUG